AAAGCGCACGCAGGCGGUUGGAUAAGUUAGAUGUGAAAGCCCCGGGCUCAACCUGGGAAUUGCAUUUAAAACUGUCCAGCUAGAGUCUUGUAGAGGGGGGUAGAAUUCCAGGUGUAGCGGUGAAAUGCGUAGAGAUCUGGAGGAAUACCGGUGGCGAAGGCGGCCCCCUGGACAAAGACUGACGCUCAGGUGCGAAAGCGUGGGGAGCAAACAGGAUUAGAUACCCUGGUAGUCCACGCCGUAAACGAUGUCGAUUUGGAGGC
rnacentral:rRNA from 1 species